CAGUCGCCACGGGAAUACGUAGGGGGCAAGCGUUGUCCGGAAUCAUUGGGCGUAAAGCGCGUGUAGGCGGCUCGAUAAGUCUGCUGUGAAAGUCCAGGGCUCAACCCUGGAAUGCCGGUGGAAACUGUCGAGCUCGAGUCCGGAAGAGGCAAGUGGAAUUCCUGGUGUAGCGGUGAAAUGCGCAGAUAUCAGGAGGAACACCAAUGGCGAAGGCAGCUUGCUGGGACGGUACUGACGCUGAGACGCGAAAGCGUGGGGAGCAAACAGGAUUAGAUACCCCGGUAGUCCCUGUCUCUUAUAC
rnacentral:rRNA from 1 species